AGUACUAAAUUGAUCAGUGCAGAGUAUGGAAGAAAGUGAUAUUGCGUAAUUUUCUGUGAUUUAUCUAAAGUGAUUUAUUAGUGUUAAUUAGUCAAUUUUUGUUCCAUUUAAUCAAGUGAAAUUAUAAAUAAGUGGCUUAAGGAACACAUUGAACUUGAAAUUGCCGAUAAUUUGGACAAUAUUUCAGUGGCAGAAGAAUUUUCCCUUCUGUGUGAAUGGGGGUUUUCAGUGGAAAUUGCGCAGAGAUUUCUCGAUUUGGAAAUCGACGAGUGUUCUGAAUUUUAUGACGGAAAGCGACAUCAAGGAAAUAUUCCAAAACGGUCUAAAAAUUAAGCUAAAAUUUCAAGCUAAACUAGGCGAAUGGAGAAGGCAAACGUAAGAGUCUGAAAAAAGUAAUUCAGAAGAUCUCCCAGUAAAUGUGCAGGCAUCAUUGUCAACAAAACUGAAAAAGGACGAUAUUUUAGAAAUGAUUCUUAAAACUGAAUUCAAUACCGAAGAUUAGGUCAGAGAAAAAGCAACAAAAAAUAUUUGUGCAAAAAAAAACUUAUUUCCAAUUUCAAGAAAAAAACCGAUUUAAAAUUAUCUGACAAAAAUAAAUUUAUAUUUUACUGGGAGAUAUGCCAUUAUAUUUUGUAAAUGUUAUUCAAAAAGUAAAAAUGUGAAUUUUAAAAGAAAAGAGUUUCAAAAAAAUUAUGUUUUUCACAUAGCGUCUAAACUAAAAGAUACGAUGAAGAAUGGAUAGUUUUUUCGACUUUAUUGGAUCUUAAUUAUCUUAGAAAACAUUUUUUUACAACUUUUUUCGCAUAUUAAAGUGUUUGCGACUGUAUAAAAGAACUUAAAAUCAAAAUAUCAUAAAACAAAAAUAUGACUGAGGUAUAAAAUAUCACGAAAAUAAAUCAAGAACUGUGGUGUAAAAGACUGCAAAUAGGCAAGUGAAAAACUAAUGGAAAUGUAAAAAUAUUUUAAGUAUAAAAAAUAUGUGAUAGAAAAAAUAUUCAUUUAAAAAAAAUAAUGUGGUAUCAUUUACUGUAAAUAUUAUUCUAAAAAUUCUUCAAUUAAAAAUAUUUAUCAGAGAUGCAAAA